UACGUAGGGUCCAAGCGUUAUCCGGAAUCACUGGGCGUAAAGCGUGCGUAGGUGGCGUGUUAAGUGUGAUGUUAAAUCGUGGGGCUCAACCCUGUCGGUGCAUCACAUACUGGCAUGCUAGAGGGAAGCAGAGGCAAGUGGAAUUUGUAGUGUAGCAGUGAAAUGCGUAGAUAUUACAAGGAACACCAAUUGCGAAGGCAGCUCGCUGGGACGUUACUGACGCUGAGACGCGAAAGCGUGGGGAGCAAACAGG
rnacentral:rRNA from 1 species